UACAGAGGGGGCCAGCGUUGUUCGGAAUUACUGGGCGUAAAGGGCGCGUAGGCGGCCUUCUAAGUCGAACGUGAAAUCCCCGGGCUCAACCCGGGAACUGCGUCCGAUACUGGAAGGCUUGAAUCCGGGAGAGGGAUGCGGAAUUCCAGGUGUAGCGGUGAAAUGCGUAGAUAUCUGGAGGAACACCGGUGGCGAAGGCGGCAUCCUGGACCGGCAUUGACGCUGAGGCGCGAAAGCCAGGGGAGCAAACGGG
rnacentral:rRNA from 1 species